rnacentral:tRNA from 1 species
GAAUUAAAAUUCGUUGGCUUUAUAGACCGUGAG